rnacentral:rRNA from 1 species
UACGGGGGGAGCAAGCGUUGUUCGGAUUUACUGGGCGUAAAGGGCGCGUAGGCGGUCAGCACAAGUCAGUUGUGAAAUCUCCGGGCUUAACUCGGAAAGGUCAACUGAUACUGUGCGACUAGAGUGCGGAAGGGGCAACUGGAAUUCUCGGUGUAGCGGUGAAAUGCGUAGAUAUCGAGAGGAACACCUGCGGCGAAGGCGACUACCUGGCCUGUUCUUGACGCUGAGGCGCGAAAGCUAGGGGAGCAAACGGG